GAAUAUGGGGGGACCAUCCUCCAAGGCUAAAUACUCCUGACUGACCGAUAGUGAACCAGUACCGUGAGGGAAAGGCGAAAAGAACCCCGGCGAGGGGAGUGAAAAAGAACCUGAAACCGUGUACGUACAAGCAGUGGGAGCACCCUUUUGGGUGUGACUGCGUACCUUUUGUAUAAUGGGUCAGCGACUUAUAUUCUGUAGCAAGGUUAACCGAAUAGGGGAGCCGGAGGGAAACCGAGUCUUAACCGGGCGUUAAGUUGCAGGGUAUAGACCCGAAACCCGGUGAUCUAGCCAUGGGCAGGUUGAAGGUUGGGUAACACUAACUGGAGGACCGAACCGACUAAUGUUGAAAAAUUAGCGGAUGACCUGUGGCUGGGGGUGAAAGGCCAAUCAAACCGGGAGAUAGCUGGUUCUCCCCGAAAGCUAUUUAGGUAGCGCCUCGUGAAUUCAUCUCCGGGGGUAGAGCACUGUUUCGGCUAGGGGGCCAUCCCGGCUUACCAACCCGAUGCAAACUGCGAAUACCGGAGAAUGUUAUCACGGGAGACACACGGCGGGUGCUAACGUCCGUCGUGAAGAGGGAAACAACCCAGACCGCCAGCUAAGGUCCCAAAGUCAUGGUUAAGUGGGAAACGAUGUGGGAAGGCCCAGACAGCCAGGAUGUUGGCUUAGAAGCAGCCAUCAUUUAAAGAAAGCGUAAUAGCUCACUGGUCGAGUCGGCCUGCGCGGAAGAUGUAACGGGGCUAAACCAUGCACCGAAGCUGCGGCAGCGAACGUAUCACUUAAAGCGAUUCAGCGGGUUACGAUUGACGGAGCGAAGCGACGUCAAAGCGUAUACAAAGUCGAGUCGGUUUAAGGAUACGUUCGUUGGGUAGGGGAGCGUUCUGUAAGCCUGUGAAGGUGUGUCGUGAGGCAUGCUGGAGGUAUCAGAAGUGCGAAUGCUGACAUAAGUAACGAUAAAGCGGGUGAAAAGCCCGCUCGCCGGAAGACCAAGGGUUCCUGUCCAACGUUAAUCGGGGCAGGGUGAGUCGACCCCUAAGGCGAGGCCGAAAGGCGUAGUCGAUGGGAAACGGGUUAAUAUUCCCGUACUUGGUGUUACUGCGAAGGGGGGACGGAGAAGGCUAUGUUGGCCGGGCGACGGUUGUCCCGGUUUAAGCGUGUAGGUGUGUGUUCCAGGUAAAUCCGGUUCACUUUAACACUGAGGCGUGACGACGAGGCACUACGGUGCUGAAGCAACAAAUGCCCUGCUUCCAGGAAAAGCCUCUAAGCAUCAGGUAACAUCAAAUCGUACCCCAAACCGACACAGGUGGUCAGGUAGAGAAUACCAAGGCGCUUGAGAGAACUCGGGUGAAGGAACUAGGCAAAAUGGUGCCGUAACUUCGGGAGAAGGCACGCUGACACGUAGGUGAAGUGAUUUACUCAUGGAGCUGAAGUCAGUCGAAGAUACCAGCUGGCUGCAACUGUUUAUUAAAAACACAGCACUGUGCAAACACGAAAGUGGACGUAUACGGUGUGACGCCUGCCCGGUGCCGGAAGGUUAAUUGAUGGGGUCAGCGCAAGCGAAGCUCCUGAUCGAAGCCCCGGUAAACGGCGGCCGUAACUAUAACGGUCCUAAGGUAGCGAAAUUCCUUGUCGGGUAAGUUCCGACCUGCACGAAUGGCGUAAUGAUGGCCAGGCUGUCUCCACCCGAGACUCAGUGAAAUUGAACUCGCUGUGAAGAUGCAGUGUACCCGCGGCAAGACGGAAAGACCCCGUGAACCUUUACUAUAGCUUGACACUGAACAUUGAGCCUUGAUGUGUAG
rnacentral:rRNA from 1 species